CUACGGGGGGCAGCAGUCAAGAAUAUUUCCCAAUGGACGAAAGUCUGAGGGAGCGACGCCGCGUGGUUGAAGAAGCCCUUCGGGGUGUAAAGACCUUUUCUCGGGGACGAAUCAAUGACGGUACCCGAGGAAUAAGAGGUUGCUAACUCUGUGCCAGCAGCAGCGGUAAUACAGAGACCUCAAGCGUUAUCCGGAUUUAUUGGGCGUAAUGCGUCCGCAGGCUGUUUAUUAAGUCAAUGGUCAAAUUUUUAGGCUCAACCUAAAGACUGCCAUUGAAACUAAUAAACUUGAGACUGGGAGAGGCUAGCGGAAUUGCCGGUGUAGGGGUAAAAUCCGUUAAUAUCGGCAAGAACACCAAAUGCGAAGGCAGCUAGCUAGAACAGUUCUGACGCUCAUGGACGAAAGCGUGGGUAGCGAAUGGGAUUAGAUACCCGGGUAGUC
rnacentral:rRNA from 1 species